CCCUUAGAUGUCCUGGGCCGCACGCGUACUACACUGACGCAUACAACGAGUAUUUCCAGCUCCGAGAGGUAGCUGGUAAUCAGCAAUAUGCGUCGUGAUGGGGAUUGAUCUUUGGAAUUGUGGAUCAUGAACGAGGAAUGCCUAGUAAGCGCAGUUCAUCAAACUGCGUUGAUUAAGUCCCUGCCCUUUGUACACACCGCCCGUCGCUCCUACCGAUUUCGAGUGGUCCGGUGAACCUUUCGGACUGAGAGUGGCCUCGAGUCGCUUUUAGAAAGUCAAGUAAACCACNUNACUUAGNGGAAGGAGAANUCGUANCA
rnacentral:rRNA from 1 species